rnacentral:sRNA from 1 species
GAGCGGCCGUCGGUGCAGAUCU